UUAAGCGACUAAGCGUACACGGUGGAUGCCCUGGCAGUCAGAGGCGAUGAAGGACGUGCUAAUCUGCGAUAAGCGUCGGUGAGGUGAUAUGAACCGUUAUAACCGGCGAUUUCCGAAUGGGGAAACCCAGUGUGUUUCGACACACUAUCAUUAACUGAAUCCAUAGGUUAAUGAGGCGAACCGGGGGAACUGAAACAUCUAAGUACCCCGAGGAAAAGAAAUCAACCGAGAUUCCCCCAGUAGCGGCGAGCGAACGGGGAGGAGCCCAGAGCCUGAAUCAGUGUGUGUGUUAGUGGAAGCGUCUGGAAAGGCGCGCGAUACAGGGUGACAGCCCCGUACACAAAAAUGCACAUAUUGUGAGCUCGAUGAGUAGGGCGGGACACGUGGUAUCCUGUCUGAAUAUGGGGGGACCAUCCUCCAAGGCUAAAUACUCCUGACUGACCGAUAGUGAACCAGUACCGUGAGGGAAAGGCGAAAAGAACCCCGGCGAGGGGAGUGAAAAAGAACCUGAAACCGUGUACGUACAAGCAGUGGGAGCCUCUUAAUGGGGUGACUGCGUACCUUUUGUAUAAUGGGUCAGCGACUUAUAUUCUGUAGCAAGGUUAACCGAAUAGGGGAGCCGAAGGGAAACCGAGUCUUAACUGGGCGUUAAGUUGCAGGGUAUAGACCCGAAACCCGGUGAUCUAGCCAUGGGCAGGUUGAAGGUUGGGUAACACUAACUGGAGGACCGAACCGACUAAUGUUGAAAAAUUAGCGGAUGACUUGUGGCUGGGGGUGAAAGGCCAAUCAAACCGGGAGAUAGCUGGUUCUCCCCGAAAGCUAUUUAGGUAGCGCCUCGUGAAUUCAUCUCCGGGGGUAGAGCACUGUUUCGGCAAGGGGGUCAUCCCGACUUACCAACCCGAUGCAAACUGCGAAUACCGGAGAAUGUUAUCACGGGAGACACACGGCGGGUGCUAACGUCCGUCGUGAAGAGGGAAACAACCCAGACCGCCAGCUAAGGUCCCAAAGUCAUGGUUAAGUGGGAAACGAUGUGGGAAGGCCCAGACAGCCAGGAUGUUGGCUUAGAAGCAGCCAUCAUUUAAAGAAAGCGUAAUAGCUCACUGGUCGAGUCGGCCUGCGCGGAAGAUGUAACGGGGCUAAACCAUGCACCGAAGCUGCGGCAGCGACACUAUGUGUUGUUGGGUAGGGGAGCGUUCUGUAAGCCUGUGAAGGUGGCCUGUGAGGGUUGCUGGAGGUAUCAGAAGUGCGAAUGCUGACAUAAGUAACGAUAAAGCGGGUGAAAAGCCCGCUCGCCGGAAGACCAAGGGUUCCUGUCCAACGUUAAUCGGGGCAGGGUGAGUCGACCCCUAAGGCGAGGCCGAAAGGCGUAGUCGAUGGGAAACAGGUUAAUAUUCCUGUACUUGGUGUUACUGCGAAGGGGGGACGGAGAAGGCUAUGUUGGCCGGGCGACGGUUGUCCCGGUUUAAGCGUGUAGGCUGGUUUUCCAGGCAAAUCCGGAAAAUCAAGGCUGAGGCGUGAUGACGAGGCACUACGGUGCUGAAGCGACAAAUGCCCUGCUUCCAGGAAAAGCCUCUAAGCAUCAGGUAACAUCAAAUCGUACCCCAAACCGACACAGGUGGUCAGGUAGAGAAUACCAAGGCGCUUGAGAGAACUCGGGUGAAGGAACUAGGCAAAAUGGUGCCGUAACUUCGGGAGAAGGCACGCUGAUAUGUAGGUGAAGCGACUUGCUCGUGGAGCUGAAAUCAGUCGAAGAUACCAGCUGGCUGCAACUGUUUAUUAAAAACACAGCACUGUGCAAACACGAAAGUGGACGUAUACGGUGUGACGCCUGCCCGGUGCCGGAAGGUUAAUUGAUGGGGUUAGCGGUAACGCGAAGCUCUUGAUCGAAGCCCCGGUAAACGGCGGCCGUAACUAUAACGGUCCUAAGGUAGCGAAAUUCCUUGUCGGGUAAGUUCCGACCUGCACGAAUGGCGUAAUGAUGGCCAGGCUGUCUCCACCCGAGACUCAGUGAAAUUGAACUCGCUGUGAAGAUGCAGUGUACCCGCGGCAAGACGGAAAGACCCCGUGAACCUUUACUAUAGCUUGACACUGAACAUUGAGCCUUGAUGUGUAGGAUAGGUGGGAGGCUUUGAAGUGUGGACGCCAGUCUGCAUGGAGCCGGCCUUGAAAUACCACCCUUUAAUGUUUGAUGUUCUAACGUUGGCCCGUAAUCCGGGUUGCGGACAGUGUCUGGUGGGUAGUUUGACUGGGGCGGUCUCCUCCUAAAGAGUAACGGAGGAGCACGAAGGUUGGCUAAUCCUGGUCGGACAUCAGGAGGUUAGUGCAAUGGCAUAAGCCAGCUUGACUGCGAGCGUGACGGCGCGAGCAGGUGCGAAAGCAGGUCAUAGUGAUCCGGUGGUUCUGAAUGGAAGGGCCAUCGCUCAACGGAUAAAAGGUACUCCGGGGAUAACAGGCUGAUACCGCCCAAGAGUUCAUAUCGACGGCGGUGUUUGGCACCUCGAUGUCGGCUCAUCACAUCCUGGGGCUGAAGUAGGUCCCAAGGGUAUGGCUGUUCGCCAUUUAAAGUGGUACGCGAGCUGGGUUUAGAACGUCGUGAGACAGUUCGGUCCCUAUCUGCCGUGGGCGCUGGAGAACUGAGGGGGGCUGCUCCUAGUACGAGAGGACCGGAGUGGACGCAUCACUGGUGUUCGGGUUGUCAUGCCAAUGGCACUGCCCGGUAGCUAAAUGCGGAAGAGAUAAGUGCUGAAAGCAUCUAAGCACGAAACUUGCCCCGAGAUGAGUUCUCCCUGACCCUUUAAGGGUCCUGAAGGAACGUUGAAGACGACGACGUUGAUAGGCCGGGUGUGUAAGCGCAGCGAUGCGUUGAGCUAACCGGUACUAAUGAACCGUGAGGCUUAACCUU
rnacentral:rRNA from 6 species